GCGGAGGUGCAGAGAAUGACUGAGGUCGGCAGAGGUGCAACGGAGGAAGAAGCUGUGGUCGGCGGCCUUUGGUGCGCCACUGGCUCCUAUGAUGACCGCGGCCAGGUCCGGAUUAAGGGACUGAAAAAGACGAGUCUGAUUCUGGAAGAGGAAUAUCCUCGUUCCCCACAAAGCAUCAAUAACAGGAAUGAAUUGAGGAACGUUUUACAUUUGGAGUCUUUAUAUAAAGAAAACAAGUUGGCAGAAAAACCUCUAAAAACUCUCCUGGAGCUCAUGACAAAGUAUUUUCUGGAGAGUUUUGGGAAAAACAGAAAGUUAAAAAUGACCGGAGACCAGAAUGCUGUUUCUUCCAAGAUAUUCAGCAGAGGACACCAGAGGAGUGAACCAAGGAUCUCGUUCCUGGACAUUAAUGACAUCUCUGAUAGUGAAGCUGGGGAAAGCUCAGCUGUGUCUGAGACCAGCAGAAUCCAAAUCCACAGGCCUGAAAGCAGCAUGACAAGAGUCCCAGGCGGGAAGUGUAAGACCACAGACGGUGGCCCAAGAAGCAGCAGCUCUCCCACUGCUCCCACUGACCCUGAAGUGAGAACUACAAAGGAACUCACAAUGGGAAUAUCGGUGACGCCAGAAUCCCCAGCAGAGGCCAGAAGUGCCACAUCUGAGGCCCAGAGGCCUAAAACAUGCAGGAUCGUUCGAGGGAUGAUGUCUGGUCCUAUUGCCAGCUCUCAGGAGGACUCCCUGAAAAAGCGAGGGCAGAGGCGAUCUUCUGCAGUUUUCCAGCCGAUUCAACCCAAAGAUGAGUCCCAGCCUAAUGGACACCUGGGAAACACAGAAGAGCUCCAGGGCAGUUCUCCAAACCCUGCGCUACAACUCGGCAAAGAGUUCUCUGCAAAAUUACUGAGUGGCUCCUCCUCCAAUACAUUGCUCAGGAGCCCACCUGUCCAUUCCGUCAGCAGGCAGGAGAAACAGCCUCACCCCGCAGCAGAGAAGGAGAGCAGUAUAGAUCUCUACAACAACUUCAGAAUGAAAUUUUUCUUAGGAGCAGAACAAGAAAAGCCCCAAAGAUCAUCCAAAAAGAGUGAAAAUUCCUCUGCUUCAAAAAGGAGGACGGCGAGGUCUAUUGCCCAUGAAGAGGCUAAUUGUAAAGAAGAUAUAAGGCUAGAUGACAUUGAAGAUGACUUACUGACAGUGGAUAUUUCCCAGAUCCCAGAUCUCCUCCCCAGGAGUAAGGUGCAGGUUGAAGGGAAAUCUAUUGAUUUGCAGCAAGCAGUGGAACUGAAGAAACUACUCUUCGGCUCGCCGCUCUUUUGUUUCAGCGAGGAGUGGAGGACUCAGAGCUUCACAUUCAGUAAUACCAGCUCCCUGAAGUACGGCUUUGUGCAGAAAAAGGGUGGCCCUUGUGGGGUUUUGGCUGCUGUGCAAGCUUGUGUGCUGAAGCAUCUUCUGUUUGGGAAAGACUCUGACAUCAGCUCAGCUUUGCAGCCUUCAGACACUCGUAGAUCAAGUUGCCUGUAUAAAGCCAUAGCGGAAAUCUUAUGGCGUGCUGGCGAAAGCAAGGAAGCAGUCGUCACAUUGUCAUCGGGAAGGCAGCAGUUUAGCCCAGCUGGAAGAUACAAAGCCGAUGGAAUCCUUGAAAGCCUAAUCCUGUACAGCUUUACAAAAUAUGAAGAUCUUGUGACUUUUCUGCAACAAAAUGUCAAUCAGUUUGAAUAUGGGCCAUUUGGCUGCAUCCUGCUCACUCUCUCUGCCAUCCUGUCAAGAUCCAUUGAAACAGUUCAGAAGGAUUUUGAUGUUCCCACAAACUGCUUAAUUGGUGCUCAUGCAUACUGUACGCAAGAGCUUGUAAACCUCAUAAUGGGAGGCAGAGCCGUGUCUAACGUGUUCAAUGACGUGGUGGAGCUGGACUCUGGGAAUGGGAAUAUCACUAUUCUGAAGGGGAUCACUAGCCGCGGAGAGAUCGGGUUCCUGUCUCUCUUUGAACACUACAGCGUGUGUCAGGUUGGUUCUUAUCUGAAGACCCCCAAGUACCCCAUCUGGGUGGUCUGCAGCGAGAGUCACUUUAGUGUCCUGUUUUGCUUGAAGAAAGAGUUGAUGAGUGACUGGAAAGCUGAGCGAAGGUUUGACCUCUACUACUACGAUGGGCUGGCCAAUCAGCAGGAGGAAAUCCGCCUCACUGUGGACACAUCGCGGGCCGGAACAGAGGACAGAGAGAACGAUCUGAUUCCUCCUCUAGAAUACUGUAUCAGAACCAAGGAAAUAAGCUCAACAUAUAAUAAAGAGUAUCCAGAUGUUCAGCAAAAGCCGGAGCCAACACAGUACUGUGCCUGUGGUUUUAUGGGGAACAUAAUAUGAAACUCAGCUGAUACACCCACCUUCGUUCUCCGCCAUUCGUGUCAGUCAUCUCAAGAUGCAGGUGGAAAGGGGCACUAGUAGACUGGAAUGGCACAGAACCCAUCCUUUAGCCAUCACAAAUCGGAGCCUCUGAGGAACACUUUCCCAGUACAGACAUUGCGAAAAAUAAACAUUCACCUGACGAUUGUU